CGAAGCCUUUCGGGGCUUAGUGGCGGACGGGUGAGUAACGCGUGAGAAUCUGCCAUCAGGUCUGGGACAACCACUGGAAACGGUGGCUAAUACUGGAUGUGCCCUUAGGGGUGAAAGGUUAACUGCCUGUUGAUGAGCUCGCGUCUGAUUAGCUAGUAGGUGUGGUAAAGGCGCACCUAGGCGACGAUCAGUAGCUGGUCUGAGAGGACGAUCAGCCACACUGGGACUGAGACACGGCCCAGACUCCUACGGGAGGCAGCAGUGGGGAAUUUUCCGCAAUGGGCGAAAGCCUGACGGAGCAAUACCGCGUGAGGGAGGAAGGCUCUUGGGUCGUAAACCUCUUUUCUCAGGGAAGAACACAAUGACGGUACCUGAGGAAUAAGCAUCGGCUAACUCCGUGCCAGCAGCCGCGGUAAUACGGAGGAUGCAAGCGUUAUCCGGAAUGAUUGGGCGUAAAGCGUCCGCAGGUGGCGAUGUAAGUCUGCUGUUAAAGAGUCUAGCUCAACUAGAUAAGAGCAGUGGAAACUACAUAGCUAGAGUACGUUCGGGGCAGAGGGAAUUCCUGGUGUAGCGGUGAAAUGCGUAGAGAUCAGGAAGAACACCAGUGGCGAAGGCGCUCUGCUAGGCCGUAACUGACACUGAGGGACGAAAGCUAGGGGAGCGAAUGGGAUUAGAUACCCCAGUA
rnacentral:rRNA from 1 species